UCUAUAAGGGAUGAUGCACUUGCAAGAGUUUUAGGACCUGAAACUCAUGGACGAGUUCGUGGGCUUGGGUUUGGUGCUACACCAUCUCGAGUCAAUGCUACUAUUCAAGGCAGUGCAAAGGUUAAAGAACUUGAAGCUACUAUAUUAAGUCAAUGACAGAGGCCUGCUUAGGUUGAAGCGAAGCUUGGAGCUCUUUUAAAGGCCACUCAGGAGGGACCUCCUCAACAGAACAGAAACUUAGAGAAACUGAUAAAUGCACAUGCAACUACUUCUCAGUCACAACAAUCAAGUCGACCAAUCAAUGCUCCAAGCAAUGAUCUUGAAAAUAGAAGAUGUGCACUUUUGAAUUGGAACAAUUAUGAAGAAGAUGAAGUGGUGGCUGAAGGGAAGAUCUCUUCAACAAAUCCAAGUACAAAAGUUCAUUGUGUGCCUCUUAGCUUGGACGAGAUUGUUGGAAGGUUUGGGUUGAUGUGGUGUUUGAUGAGUAUCAGACUAUGGAAGUGUAUAGAGCAACCAUGGAUACCAAACAACUUGGUGAAGCUGUAGGAAGCACUCUUGCAUCGCCCAAAAGCUCCAUUAAAAUGCUCCCUUAGUAGUUGAAGUAGCAGGUACAUUUUGCUUUACUA